CUCCCUCUUAUGGCAGAAUCCAGAGAAGGCAGAAUUGGGGUUUUCUAUAAUUGAUGAUUAAAGAUGAAAUAUAAUUGGAUUCUGACACUCCUUCUGAAUCAAAGUCCAGGGCAGGGAUGUGCUAUAGGCCUAGGGGCACCAUGUCACAGACAGCAUUUAGAUAUCAGUUGAAGAAAUGAUUCAAAUAUCUCCCCCCACUUCCCAGCAGAGCUAGGCAGUUGGGUGAUGGGCAACUAGGCAAUUAGUGGCAAGGCAUCUUUUCUCAAGCAGAAUAAAAUACCUGCACAGUAUAUGAAGCAACUAAAGUCCAAAGGCAUUAGGCAUUACCUAUUCUAUUGAGCAAUAAUGAACUUGGAUAACCAGUCAUUCAGCCAGAUGGACAAUAUCUGAUUCUUGCACUUCCUCCAUUUGACUACUAUUUCCUCUCAUUUCAACAGGCAGGCAGUAUUUUUUCCAUAUUAACAACACAAGGAAUAAAUAUCCUUAUCAUCUACUUUAUCUUGAUCCACUUAAAAUGAACUUCUUACUCCCCACUCAUCAUACAUUGGUCUGUUACUCUAACCACCAGCACUUCCCAUGGUGCUGGACCUGAACACAGAUGGUUGUUCCCCCAUAACAAGUUUCUAAAUGUAGUUCACAUACUGUAUUAGCUGAAGUUAGCAUGGUCAUAAACUCCAUAAUUGAAUCUGCUGGGUCUAUUUAUUGGCAUCACCAGCAUUGUCAACUGACAGGGUCUGUUUGUGCAGGAUUAUAUUAGUCAGCCUGGUAUUCUCUUGACUAGUAGAGCUUUUAUGGAUGAAGGCCGUAAGACUAUUGGUUAUUUCUACUAUGAUAUGAAAGGGAGGCAGAUACUAGACAAGUUCCAAAUUAUACUCCUCUUAAUUAUGAAGACUCAUGGCAACUUUUUCAUGGCAACUUCUUAUGCAAAGACAAGUCCUUGGUACUAUAAAAGUAAACUCUCACACUCAGUGAGAAAUCUAUAAGAACAAGUCUUAUAAAAAUAAAACACAGAAGGAAACUAGUUAGCCUGCUGAAAUGAGGGGACAGGCAAGAAAGAAAAUACUGUUAAAGAAAAUACUGUUUUUUUUAAGCAAGACUUAUGAUUAACUGCAGUUGCUAGAAUUAUUUUGGUAGUGUCCUCAACUUUCUCCGGUAAAUAUUGUCCUUCUUAUGAGCUUAUCUAAGCGUUUCCAGUUGUGACUGUGGUUCAGACCUGACAGAUUCUUUUCUGAGAAAAGACUUUGGAUGCACUCAGGAGAGCUGGGGCUUAAUGACAGCUGAGUUUUGUCAGUCCCAUUGAUUAAGCCAGACAGUGGCUGUAGCUUUUGAGUUCUGGGUAAGUACAAAGCUUGUCACACUGUGUGAUGCAAAAAGAAAGGAGACAAUGAUCUUUUCUGAUAUUUUCUACGGUAUCUUUACUUUCAAAGGCAUUCUAAAUGUCUACAAUAAGAGGAAUCAAGAGCAACUAUAGAGUACACAUACUUAAAGUCAGCAAGACAUCGAAACAAUGGUUUAGUUUUCACUUGUUUAUUUACUUUUCCAAAAGCUGAAUUCUGAUGGUUUAUUUUGGAUGGUUGACUCCUGGAGUUUUGGAAUUUGGCAUCUUUUAUUCAUCCUUGCACUUUGUGUUCCAUUCUUUUUUAUAUUUUCAUUUGUGGAAACUUCAGAAUGCAGCUGAAAUUGUAAAACACUCAAUGUUGAUUAGACUGCUAAACUUUGGUGUAUUGGGGCAACCUUCUAUUUGUGCUCUUAUGAAUUGUACAUUUUAUUUACCCACAUCUGAACUUACCACACUAUUUUAUUUAUUUUAGCAUUUCAAAUAUAUAAAGUUAUUUUGCCAAAUAGGCUAUGUCCAUGAUUCUUGAGUAAUCAUUUGCUACUGAAUACUAAAUAAGUAGUGUACAUAAUGUAGCAUUGUUAUUUUAAAAUAUAACAGACUUGAUUGCCUUAAGGAUCCAGCUUCUGCCGUGGCCAUUUAGUGUACAUUUGUGCUGCCCCUUUUUCUUUAGAGAUGAUUUUUUUUUCUUCAUUUCCUCAAUAUAAAAAGCUGCAGAAAAAAAUUCUUUGCUUUCUUCUUUCCUUUCCAUCUUCAGCCUGGCAGUGAGUCACCAAAUGCCCUUGUUACUUCCACCAGACUACUUCUGUACUCAGGAGCAUAUGUAAUAAGAUAUUUCAUUUGGGAAGCAACUAUUUGAUUACAUGAUUAACGUAAUGAUUAAGGUAAGUAUGGAUCUCAAUCUGAUUGACUGAAGUUUCAUUUUCAAGGAAACAGUACAACAUAAGCCAAAGUAAUAUAUAUGAAAAAACUGCAUAUUACCAAACUUACAAUUGAAGAACUGAAUAUUUAAAGUAUAUUUAAUAUUCUUUUAUACUGAGAAUAAAUGUAGCUAAAGGCUAAAUAAGCAUGUAACAGCUAUCAUGAACCUGAAAACAUAUAUUGUCUUGUCUAAUCCAGCAAUAAUUCCUGUGUACAGUUACAACUAUA